UCAAGAUCAAAAACAAAAAUGAAAGCGCCAACCUUCUUCAUCACCGCCAUCACCCUCAACAUUCAUCUUGCGCACCCACCACGGCGGAAGCCAUAUCUCGACAAUCCGACCACCAAAUUCAGCGAUUCAAGCUUGGUUAUGAAGCCAACACACCAAGGAUUAAGACUCGACGAGGCGAUUAUCAAGGGGGCGCGGAACGUAAAGAACGCGACAUCGCUUUGCUAGGACCGAAGUCUUUGGAUAGCAAUUUUGUUAUGUUUCAGGUGUAUAGUAUCGAAUGUAACGGACUUCUAUCCUUGUUCCAGAAGUCCGCGAGUACAGAAAGAAGGAACCAAUCAGUAGUGCUGCAGUAGCCGAGUCCUAGAGUGUAAUUAUGUUUUGUCAAACGGUUUUAAAUAUUUUGUUUAUACUCUGAUAUGAAUAAAGGCUUUAGACUGCGCUUUUAAACCAUUUAUAUAUAUGUGAGAAACAUGGCAUUGCUUGAUAUAAGAUAUCGCGUUGUAAGACCCUGAUUUCUAAAGAUCGUUUUGUAUCGUUUAAAGAAGUUUUAUAAAAACGUUUUGAGAA